CUGAGUCCCACAUGGCAGGCUGGUGAGACCUGCCUCCCAGAACAUGCACCAACUUUACUGCGCCCCCAGGACACCAACCAGAGAAAGAGGCGGGAGCAGAUGAUCACUACAUGACAGAGAAGCUGCCCCUGCUCCUCACUGGUAUGGAGAAACCAGCUCGGUAAACCCUGCUGCUUCUUGGGGGCACUGGGCUCCCCUCAUCCCUGACCUCAUGGACCAACCUCCGAACAACACGAUUUUGGUUCCCAAGGUACAGGACACAAAGGGCUGUGAUCCUCAAAGCAACAAGAGAAAACGACCUCUCGUCUUGGCCCUCGGCUCAUCUGGUGACUCCGGAAGGGAUUGACUCACCUUGAUCUCAACCUGGUGCCUCUC